UGGGGAAUAUUGGACAAUGGGCGCAAGCCUGAUCCAGCCAUGCCGCGUGAGUGAUGAAGGCCCUUGGGUUGUAAAGCUCUUUCACCGGUGAAGAUAAUGACGGUAACCGGAGAAGAAGCCCCGGCUAACUUCGUGCCAGCAGCCGCGGUAAUACGAAGGGGGCUAGCGUUGUUCGGAUUUACUGGGCGUAAAGCGCACGUAGGCGGACUAUUAAGUCAGGGGUGAAAUCACGGGGCUCAACCCCGGAACUGCCUUUGAUACUGGUAGUCUUGAGUUCGAGAGAGGUGAGUGGAAUUCAGAGUGUAGAGGUGAAAUUCGUAGAUAUUCGGAGGAACACCAGUGGCAAAGGCGGCUCACUGGCUCGAUACUGACGCUGAGGUGCGAAAGCGUGGGGAGCAAACAGG
rnacentral:rRNA from 1 species